GACGAACGCUGGCGGCGUGCUUAACACAUGCAAGUCGAACGAAGUGGCGAACGGGUGAGUAACGCGUAAUCAACCUGCCCAUCAGGGGGGGAAAACAGUUGAAAACGACUGCUAAUACCGACUAUGGAAGGGGGGGAUUGCGUCGGAUUAGCUAGUUGGAGGGGUAACGGCCCACCAAGGCGAUGAUAAGUAGGCGGUCUGAGAGGAGGAACGGCCACCUUGGGAAUGGGACACGGCCCAGAAUCCCACGGGGGGCAGCAGUGGGGAAUCUUCCGCAAUGGACGAAAGUCUGACGGCGCAACGCCGCGUGAGUGAUGACGGCCUUCGGGUUGUAAAGCUCUGUUAAUCGGGACGCGGUACCGGAAUAGAAAGCCACGGCUAACUACGUGCCAGCAGCCGCGGUAAUAC
rnacentral:rRNA from 1 species